UGAAGUUAAAGNCAGUGGCUCAACCAUUGUAGGCUUUGGAAACUGUUUAACUNGAGUGCAGAAGGGGAGAGUGGAAUUCCAUGUGUAGCGGUGAAAUGCGUAGAUAUAUGGAGGANCACCGGUGGCGAAAGCGGCUCUCUGGUCUGUAACUGACGCUGAGGCUCGAAAGCGUGGGGAGCGAACAGGAUUAGAUACCCUGGUAGUCCACGCCGUAAACGAUGAGUGCUAGGUGUUAGGUCCUUUCCGGGACUUAGUGCCGCAGCUAACGCAUUAAGCACUCCGCCUGGGGAGUACGACCGCAAGGUUGAAACUCAAAGGAAUUGACGGGGGCCCGCACAAGCGGUGGAGCAUGUGGUUUAAUUCGGAGCAACGCGAAGAACCUUACCAGGUCUUGACAUCCCGAUGCCCGCUCUAGAGAUAGAGCUUUACUUCGGUACAUCGGUGACAGGUGGUGCAUGGUUGUCGUCAGCUCGUGUCGUGAGAUGUUGGGUUAAGUCCCGCAACGAGCGCAACCCUUAUUGUUAGUUGCCAUCAUUCAGUUGGGCACUCUAGCGAGACUGCCGGUAAUAAUCCGGAGGAAGGUGGGGAUGACGUCAAAUCAUCAUGCCCCUUAUGACCUGGGCUACACACGUGCUACAAUGGCUGGUACAACGAGUCGCAAGCCGGUGACGGCAAGCUAAUCUCUGAAAGCCAGUCUCAGUUCGGAUUGUAGGCUGCAACUCGCCUACAUGAAGUCGGAAUCGCUAGUAAUCGCGGAUCAGCACGCCGCGGUGAAUACGUUCCCGGGCCUUGUACACACCGCCCGUCACACCACGAGAGUUUGUAACACCCGAAGUCGGUGAGGUAACCGUAAG
rnacentral:rRNA from 1 species